rnacentral:rRNA from 1 species
GCAACGCGAAGAACCUUACCAGGUCUUGACAUCCCAUUGACCACUGUAGAGAUACAGUUUUCCCUUCGGGGACAACGGUGACAGGUGGUGCAUGGUUGUCGUCAGCUCGUGUCGUGAGAUGUUGGGUUAAGUCCCGCAACGAGCGCAACCCUUGUUCUUAGUUGCCAUCAUUCAGUUGGGCACUCUAAGGAGACUGCCGGUGACAAACCGGAGGAAGGUGGGGAUGACGUCAAAUCAUCAUGCCCCUUAUGACCUGGGCUACACACGUGCUACAAUGGACGGUACAAACGGUCGCCAACCCGCGAGGGGGAGCUAAUCCGAUAAAACCGUUCUCAGUUCGGAUUGUAGGCUGCAACUCGCCUACAUGAAGCCGGAAUCGCUAGUAAUCGCGGAUCAGCAUGCCGCGGUGAAUACGUUCCCGGGCCUUGUACACACCGCCCGUCACACCACGAGAGUUUGUAACACCCGAAGUCGGUGGGGUAACCUUUUGGAGCCAGCCGCCGAAGGUGGGAU